AGGGUAGUAGCUCCAACGGCUAGAGCAUCGGUCUCCAAAACCGAGUGAUGGGGGUUCGAAUCCCUCCUACCCUGCCA
rnacentral:tRNA from 1 species